AUGGGCCUCAGGGAGACAGGGACUCGGAAGCUCAGGACCCUGAGCCCCUCCCCACGGUGCCCGGAACUCAGGGAGGGGACCCCACCUCCUACUUCCUGGGGCCCCGGCCACACCCUGCCCUGGGGUGCGCUGGGCAGGCCACUUCCUUCUCCCGCCGGGGCUGCAACCCCAGAGUCUGCUGGUAGGGGCGAGGACAGAGGGCGCAGGAUGGGUAGAUUCUGGACGACCCCCGGUCAACUCUAUCUUCUCGCAACUCUGGUCCCAAGGCUGGUGCAGGCCCAACCCCUGGCCCAGCGGAAGUCGUGGCUCGUGGGGCUAGGGGCUGCGCUGGCCUUGCUCUUCCUCAUCUUUGUCCUCACCUUGGUCUAUGCCGUCUGGUGCCGGGAGUCCCAGGACAGGUGGGUUCUCAUCCUUCUGAGCCCCUCCCCAUCGCUAACUCUUUAGCAUCUAAGCUCCGCCCCUUUCUGAGUCCCACCCCUCUAAGCUCCUCCUCGUGCCGAGCCUCUCCCUUACUAGCCCCUCUCCUCUGAGUCCCACCCUUCUGAGCCCCGCCCCUCACCGGCCCCUCCCCUCUAAGCUCCUCCCCUACCUAGCCCCUCCCCUCUCUGAGUCCUGCCCCUCUAAGACCCUCCCCGCGCCAAGCCCCUCCCCUCUGGGAGCCCCUUCCUUCUCCGAGCAUCCUUCAAGACAGGGCAGGACCAGCGGGGUAAUUCUCCGAUUCUGAGAGGCCCCCAUGGGGGCCUCACAGGACCUCACUGACUUCUCUCCUGACUACCUACCCGCAAAACGAGGGUGGCUUCCUCACAGAGAUUCCCCCAUCCCUAGGAUGUGUUUCAAUAGGGGGGGUCUAUAAAGUAUCAUCCCUAUGCCAACACCAUCCAUUUAUCCAUCCACCUGUCCAUCAUCCAUCCAUCAUCCCUCCUGACCUGUCUCCCAUCUUUUCUCUCUCCUUCCCUCCCUCCAUCAUCCAUCCCUCUUAUCUGUCCAUCCAUCCAUCCACCCACCUUCCCACCACCCAUUCAUGCGUCCAUUUGUUCAUCUGUCCACACACUCAUUAAUCCAUCCACCCAUCCGUCGGCCCAGCCUUUCAUCUCUCUGCCCGUCCACUCACCCGCAGUUAUGAAACCCAGGAAGUCAAAGAGGCCAGAAAUUAAGAGCUCAGUUUUGGCUCAUACAGUUGGCGCUCCUGAACUUCCUUCAUGUUCUAACGGGGCCAGUGUCCUAAGCUGCCUGAGUCUUGUCCCCCUCUGUGUCAUGGGAACAGUAAGGGUGCCUGCAGGACUCAGAGCUGGGAGAAUUGUCAGAGGCCUGGAGCACUGUCUGUCCUUAUUAACUCGGAUUAUCUGGGCUCUUCUGGUCUCCACAGCAGUGAAGAGAAGGAAGAGGAGAC
rnacentral:lncRNA from 1 species